rnacentral:rRNA from 1 species
AUUGAACGCUGGCGGCAGGCCUAACACAUGCAGGUCGAGCGGAUGAAGGGAGCUUGCUCCUGGAUUCAGCGGCGGACGGGUGAGUAAUGCCUAGGAAUCUGCCUGGUAGUGGGGGAUAACGUCCGGAAACGGGCGCUAAUACCGCAUACGUCCUGAGGGAGAAAGUGGGGGAUCUUCGGACCUCACGCUACCAGAUGAGCCUAGGUCGGAUUAGCUAGUUGGUGGGGUAAAGGCCUACCAAGGCGACGAUCCGUAACUGGUCUGAGAGGAUGAUCAGUCACACUGGAACUGAGACACGGUCCAGACUCCUACGGGAGGCAGCAGUGGGGAAUAUUGGACAAUGGGCGAAAGCCUGAUCCAGCCAUGCCGCGUGUGUGAAGAAGGUCUUCGGAUUGUAAAGCACUUUAAGUUGGGAGGAAGGGCAGUAAGUUAAUACCUUGCUGUUUUGACGUUACCAACAGAAUAAGCACCGGCUAACUUCGUG